UCCAUCAGUGAUGGGAGAACAUAGAGGAGAAAUCUGGUUUCAGGGAAAAUGGGAUGCAAAGCAAAGAAAAACAAAACAACAACAAACUAGUUCCUGAAAUAUGAAGGAGGAGGAGGAUCAGCAGCAAUUUUGGAUUUGACCUCGUGAGCUAUGGAUCUAAUGUUUCUGACGUGCCUUCUAAGCGUGGACAUACUUCCUACCAGAAUUUGGGAGGAAGUUGAAUGCAGGAUUAUGAAACUUGGAGACAGAGAGGUGGCUGGCUUACCUUGUACUAGCGAACACUGAAGCAGGGCGUCAGGCUGCAGGUCCUUCAGUGGCACCUCCUCCCCCAUGCAUCAAAUUUUCUGUGCCCAUCACGCAGCUGAUGUGUGGACAACAGUCCCCCUGGGCAGUCAAUUGGAAGCCAAAGGGAGAAGACCUCCAAUCUGUUCUUGAGAUGGGUUCACAUAUUAGGAAGGAAUGAAAAUUAUCCAGCAUGGGAAGCCAGGAGCAGAGCAAGUCAGACUGAGGAGCUGUUUGUUUUUAACUCACAGGUGCAAGUGACUAGCAGCCAGAUUUUUUGUUGCUCUUGUUUAAUUCCUCUUCGCCAUUUGGGGCCCUGCCUUCCUUCUCCAUCUCACCGUUGCCUGGGUCUGUACACAAACAGAAAACUUCCAUCACAAUACAGAAGAAAAGAUAUGAGGAAACUCCUAGAAGGUACUUCAGUUUUUCAACUAAAGGAAACUUUGCAUCAGGUUGGUACUUGUUUCUAAUAAAUUCUCUGAUUGCAUAACGCGUAUGGUAAGUUGCUCGUCUCUAGUAUUGCACGAGUGAUAUUCCAAGCAAGGUGCUCUCUGCUCUUGCUCUGUCUGCUCUCCUGGGUGCUGCUUUCUCCAUGGCCCUCUAGUCUGAACUGUCCUUAACUCUAGGUACCUUGUUUGAUUUGACUUCAGUGCUCUUUCUUGACCUCCAGCUUCAAGGUGUACCCUGAGUUUAGAAAGAUUUCUUGCUUAUGCCUACUUCUGCCCUGAAGCUUAGAAUAUACUUCCUAUUGAGGUCAGAAACUUGGCUUCCAGAGCAUGACUUGGUCAGCGUCCACGUGGCUGCAGUGAGCCAUCCUACCCACCUGGAUGAUCUCGAAAGCCCGUGCGUGAUCUCUUAAUUUGACAUCUUUCAACACAGCCUAAGUUGGAUUUACCGAGC
rnacentral:lncRNA from 1 species